rnacentral:tRNA from 3 species
GGCCCCAUGGUGUAAUGGUUAGCACCCUGGACUUUGAAUCCAGAGAUCCGAGUUCGAGUCUCGGUGGGACCU